UUUUUGAUUGGUAAGAACUGCCAGAUGACGCUUCGUGAAAUAUAAAUGCAAGAAAGCCUCUGAGAGCUCAAUAAAAACCUUCCAGCCGUCAGUCUAGGAGGAUAAGAGCAGGAGAUGGCUUUCGGAGUUCCAAUAUCAAUUUACCUCUUAUUCAAUGCAAUGACAGCAUUGACUGAAGAGACAGCCAGGACUGUCACCCCCCUAGUCACAACCCAGCAAAGUAACUGGACAGUUAACAAAACAGAAGCUGACUACACAGAAGGACCCAUAGCCUUAAGGUUCUCACAUCCUUGCCUGGAAGACCACAAUAGCUACUGUAUCAAUGGUGUUUGUGCAUUCCACCAUGAGCUGAAGAAAGCCAUCUGCAGGUGUUUUACUGGUUAUACUGGAGAAAGGUGUGAGCACUUGACCUUAACUUCAUAUGCUGUGGAUUCUUAUGAAAAAUACAUUGCAAUUGGGAUUGGUGUUGGAUUAUUAUUAAGUGGUUUUCUUGUUAUUUUUUACUGCUACAUAAGAAAGAGACCCUGAAAAAAGCCUACCAGUGAAGCCCUGGCAUCAGAACUACAUCUUCAGCUGUCAGUUCUUGAGAACAUAUUUUUAGGUCAUCAGGAUUCAUGAGUGCUUCAUUAGUUGGCCUUUUGGAGCAUAAUGGCAGAGGGAGCAAACACUUUAAUUUCGGUCAUGCUCGAGUGAGUAAAUUUAUAAAAAGGGAAUUAUAACUGCUUGUUAGUGUGUCUUCUUUCUCCAAAUUAUUUUUUUGUAAAAUUGUGUUUUUAUAACAUUUGAAGUAGAUGAAAUGAUAACACAGUUCAUCUUUUAGUGUUUCCUGGCACAAUACAACCCUUUAAUUUUGAAACGUCCAUUUUGCUGACGUCAAGAAGAUUUCCACUCAUUAUAUGUAAUUGAAAAAAAAGUGUCUUAAGGAAAUAACAAGGCAAACAUGAGUAAUUUAAGCUUUUGAUGUUGAACAUAAGGACAGUUCUUCACAGAAGACCAUAAGUAAACCAUCUAACUUCUCUGUCACACAAACUGUAACACACUCUGUGGUAUGAUGUAAAUAUUGAUAUCCUACAACCCACUCUCAUGGGAAGGGUUACCAGAAUCUCUCUAUUGCAAAACACCACUCUUUCUGGCUUACAUCAUGACUGCUUGACAUCAGGAUACUAGCAUUUGCCAAGAUGAACCGGAAGUGUUGAAAUUUAAUUUGUGAGUCUGACACUGCUGAUCUGGGUGAGUCCACAUUUCUGUCCAAACUUUUGGCACAGCCCUAUUCAGUAGCACAUUCAAAAGCAUAUCUUCCAAAUUCAGCUCCAAAUUUCUGUUAAAUGUUCAAUGAAUGCACAACUUGGAGCACAAGGGUCUAAAUAGUUAAUUUCCUAAGAAUUCAAAGGCUAGGCUUCUUGAGAAUACCCACAUGAAUAAAUGUGUCCCAUCCAUGACAUUUUACUCCUCUGCCAAAACUACACAUGAGGGCUGUUACAGACUGUGGGCAACAACCACAGCUUCCAGAGAAGCAUCUUAUAAAGAUUAUGAAUGUGAUUAUAUGGUAACAAGAAGAACUGAAUUAUUUAAUCGGGUCUUAUCUCUAUAGUUCAUGGCCUUUCUUUGUAAUUUUUAUGUCUCAGAUAAUAUUGGAGCAUAAAUCACUUAGAUUGCAAUUCUGUUAAGACCACAGUCAAGCAGGUAUCAAACCAGAAGUGUUCUUUAAGAGAAUGUUAAUUAGGCUUCACAUCUUUCUGGAAAAAAAUGGCUUAUCUAGAUUUUUAAAACUGCACAAAAAUACUGAUUCAAUAUUAUGUCCCUUCACAAAUCAAGCUGAAGUAAUAGUGUAAUAUAGCUACCAUCAAUAAGCACUUAUAAUGUUUGAAAAGCAUUCUUAGCUUUAUUUUAAUUAAUCCAUGCCUAUAUGUAAUUGAGGCUUAGAGAAGGCAAUUCACUUUUUCAAGGUCACAUAAUCUUUAAGAGGCAGGGCCUAGACAUGAACCACAUAGAUCUAAUGUCAAACUCCUCAACUAAAUGAUAUAUGUUAAUGCUUCCCAAUAUUUUAUGAAGAAUAUUAGUGUUGGGUUUGGCUUCUUGAUGAGCUUGGGGAUAUACCCAAGAGAUUUGUAUGCAAAUGAAAAAAAGUUCUUUUCUUUAAAAUGUAUAAAAUAAUGACCUUUGUCAUGCAUCAAUCACAAAAAUUCCCUGCUGUCAUCUGCAGAUUAUUAAAAUAUGCAUACCAUCCUUAGGGUGAGGCCAGAACAAGCUUCAAGUGCCUGCUGACAGUUGAAUGUACAGUCUGGGGAGAGACUUUAGACUGUAAAUGAACCCUAGUUUAUCUUCAGUUGUGAAUGAGUUGGUCACUUGGAAACAUUUGAUGCUAGCCUGUGGACAAUGGUUUGCUGGCACUAAUGUUAUCCUAACUGAGACACUCUUGGUUCAGUUGGUAAUGAGAUGAGGAGUGAGUGGUUUUCACAUCUAUAGGAAAAUCUCAUCAACCUCCUUCCCACCACAUCACUCUCAAUCCUACCCUAGUGCCAUCUAUACCUUCGAGAAAAAUAGUCAAUGGUAGUGGUCUAGCUUGGGGCAAAAACUGGAAGCAACAUUAAAAAAAAAAUUGCAAUGGAUGGACACUUAAAGGACCUAUGAUUUAGUCUGGCUGUGUGAUUAUCUAACUUUGUUGAAGCCCUUUGUUCAGGCUAUUCUUGUUUGUUAAGUGAAGAAGUUAUACUCUAAAUAUGACCUCCACCCUCCCUUCCUGGUCAAAAGCUGUAUGUUGAAAAUGUGCAGCCUAUAUGGCAGAUCCAGUCCACAGGCAUAUUUCCUUUGGCUUUCAGUGUUUGUUUUAAAAUCAAGUCCACAUUUAGAAAUCAAGCUGUCUUACUAUAAAAACCCAGCUUUUCUAGCUUCUAGAAAAACAGGAGAUACAGGAUAUAUAUAUCUCCUGUAUCUCCUAUUAUAUAUAAUAUGUACAUAAUUAUGUUUUUCUAGGACAUCUCCUAUGUAUUUUUAAUAGGAGAUAAAGGAGAUCUCCUAGAAAAACAGGAGAUACAGAGCUCUAACCCUAUAUUCUUACAUAGCUUUGAUUAGAAGGACUGUGCCCUUGACACCCAGCUUGCUUCUGUCACUAUGCUUCCCAUUCAGGAUUCCUAUGAGCCUUAAAGUCUACCUCCAUGGUUCUCUGACCGGAUUAAUUUUAAGAUCCUGCCUCAUCUAAAUGAGUCUAGUCAUCAGGGUACCUGUAGAGGGCCUUGUUGUACUGCAAACCACUCAAGCCAUAAAAGAAUCUCAGAUGGACAGGUUGUCCAGGAACUUGCUCUUUAGGAGAAACCACACUCACCUGGAAGUUGGCAGGAGUGGCAUCCGAUGACUCAGACUCUCUGCCCUGCCAACGCCCUCAGUCACUCUCUGCUACAAUCUCUGUCAGAUUUGUUUUUUCAGUGUUCAACCCUGCUUAUGUUAACUCCCUACUCAAAAACCAAACUGACUCCUCAUUGUGCACCAUGUUUAACAAAGGCUCCCCUCCCAGUGGUGUGAGGCCCUCCACAGGGAGGUUCUGGUGGUCUCUCUUUCUCAUCUACCUACCCAGGGCGCCCUACUCAGACCGUGAGCUGCAGCCACCAGCUGCCCUCUGAUCUCUGAACAGACCUCCCAAUUCCUAUCUCUAUGUUAGGGUCUCUGCUUUUCCCUCUAUAUGUAUUACCCUCCUUCAUCUCCGUCUGCCAAGAUCCUAUGCAAUUUUUUUCAAAUCCUUUCUCCUUGAAGAAUUAUGUUAUUUACAAAUAUCAUCUUUCCCUUCCUUUGAACUCCCUGAUUAUUUUCUUUAACCUCUCAAAUAGUGCUUACAUUCUGCCCUGUAUUAUACUGACUUUUGUUCUUGGCUAAGUUCCAGUUAUGGUAAUAUUAAUAAUAAUAAUAAUAAUAAUAAUAGACUUCAUUCAUUAAGUUCAUACCAUACACUGGGCACAGUGCUAAGAAAUUUCUAUACAGCACCUCUUUCAGUCCUCAAAGACAGCCUGGAGAAAGGUUUUACUGCAAACUGUGAUGAAUAGUAGUUAAAGAGACAAGUCUUAGGAGUUGAAAAAUCUGAAGCUUAAAUCCCAGCUUCAUCCCCUACUAGCUGUGCUGCCUUGACCAAGUUUCUUAACUUUUCUAAGCCUGAGUCUUGUUAUUUAUAGAAAGAAGAUAAUAUUUAUCUGCUAGAGUUGCUUUGAGGGUAAUAGUGAGUGCUCAAUGAAUAUUAGCUAUUUUAUGAUUGUCUUCCAUUUUUCAGAUUAGGAAACUGAAAUUUGAAAAGUUUAAGUAACUUGUUCAGUGAUACGCAGCUAGUAGGUGGUAGAACCUGGAUUUUACCACAAGGCUGUCCAAUUCUGAGGCCUACUUCACUCAGCACAGAUUUUGAUCAUGGCUGUCACUUGGUUAAUGUUGUCUGAACAGGAUCUGAAAUCUCAGAGGGCCGGGUUUUGAGUCCCAACUGUUUAUUAGCUCUGUGAUGGAGAAUAAAUUAUUUAACACCUCUAAAUUUCAGUUACCUCCAUUAUAAAAUGAGGAUAAUAAUUACACCUAACUCAUAUGGUCAUUUUAGGAUUAAGCUAAUUUAGAUAGCUAAGUAAGUAAAAUAUUUAGAACACAGUACUCAGUCAAUAAAUUUUACUUAUAAUUAUUAAACAUUUGAAACUCCUGUUGAAGUUCUUAUUGAUAUUUAAUAAAGUCAGUUUUUAUUUUUUAUAACAUGACAUAUGCCUUCCUAAAAAUGUUAUCACACUGCAAAAUUAAGCAAUAAAAAUCACAGGUUUUAUGGGA